GUUGAAUGACGUGCUUGCACUGAUUUCAACAAUGAAGCGAGUGGCGAACUGGUGAGUAACACGUGGGGAAUCUGCCCAGAAGCAGGGGAUAACACUUGGAAACAGGUGCUAAUACCGUAUAACAACAAAAUCCGCAUGGAUUUUGUUUGAAAGGUGGCUUCGGCUAUCACUUCUGGAUGAUCCCGCGGCGUAUUAGUUAGUUGGUGAGGUAAAGGCCCACCAAGACGAUGAUACGUAGCCGACCUGAGAGGGUAAUCGGCCACAUUGGGACUGAGACACGGCCCAAACUCCUACGGGAGGCAGCAGUAGGGAAUCUUCCACAAUGGACGAAAGUCUGAUGGAGCAAUGCCGCGUGAGUGAAGAAGGGUUUCGGCUCGUAAAACUCUGUUGUUAAAGAAGAACACCUUUGAGAGUAACUGUUCAAGGGUUGACGGUAUUUAACCAGAAAGCCACGGCUAACUACGUGCCAGCAGCCGCGGUAAUACGUAGGUGGCAAGCGUUGUCCGGAUUUAUUGGGCGUAAAGCGAGCGCAGGCGGUUUUUUAAGUCUGAUGUGAAAGCCUUCGGCUUAACCGGAGAAGUGCAUCGGAAACUGGGAGACUUGAGUGCAGAAGAGGACAGUGGAACUCCAUGUGUAGCGGUGGAAUGCGUAGAUAUAUGGAAGAACACCAGUGGCGAAAGGCGGCUGUCUAGUCUGUAACUGACGCUGAGGCUCGAAAGCAUGGGUAGCGAACAGGAUUAGAUACCCUGGUAGUCCAUGCCGUAACGAUGAGUGCUAGUGUUGGAGGGUUUCGCCCUCAGUGCUGCAGCUACGCAUAGCACUCCGCCUGGGGGAGUACGACGCAAGGUGAACUCAAAGGAAUUGACGGGGGCC
rnacentral:rRNA from 2 species